GGGGCUACGGAGUAACACUCAUCACCCUGUGACAUACCUAAACGUUGCUUCGGCGGGAACAGACGGCCUGAGAACCGGGCCGCCCCCGCCAGAGGACCCCUAACUCUGUUUUUAAAAUGUUUUUCUGAGUAAACAAGCAAAUAAAUUAAAACUUUCAACAACGGAUCUCUUGGCUCUGGCAUCGAUGACGAACGCAGCGAAAUGCGAUAAGUAAUGUGAAUUGCAGAAUUCAGUGAAUCAUCGAAUCUUUGAACGCACAUUGCGCCCGCCAGUAUUCUGGCGGGCAUGCCUGUUCGAGCGUCAUUACAACCCUCAGGCCCCCGGGCCUGGCGUUGGGGAUCGGCGGAAGCCCCCUGUGGGCACACGCCGUCCCUCAAAUACAGUGGCGGUCCCGCCGCAGCUUCCAUUGCGUUUUUAACACCUCGCAACUGGAGAGCGGCGCGGCCAUGCCGUAAAACACCCAACUUCUGAAUGUUGACCUCGAAUCAGGUAGGAAUACCCGCUGAACUUAAUA
rnacentral:rRNA from 1 species